UGGGGAAUAUUGGACAAUGGGCGAAAGCCUGAUCCAGCCAUGCCGCGUGUGUGAAGAAGGUCUUCGGAUUGUAAAGCACUUUAAGUUGGGAGGAAGGGCAGUAAGCGAAUACCUUGCUGUUUAGACGUUACCGACAGAAUAAGCACCGGCUAACUCUGUGCCAGCAGCCGCGGUAAUACAGAGGGUGCAAGCGUUAAUCGGAAUUACUGGGCGUAAAGCGCGCGUAGGUUGUUCGUUAAGUUGAAUGUGAAAGCCCCGGGCUCAACCUGGGAACUGCAUCCAAAACUGGCGAGCUAGAGUAGGGCAGAGGGUGGUGGAAUUUCCUGUGUAGCGGUGAAAUGCGUAGAUAUAGGAAGGAACACCAGUGGCGAAGGCGACCACCUGGGCUCAUACUGACACUGAGGUGCGAAAGCGUGGGGAGCAAACAGG
rnacentral:rRNA from 1 species